UUAGUCCUCAAUUUUUUCACG
ensembl:piRNA 21ur-12116 ncRNA